rnacentral:rRNA from 1 species
AUGCACAGCCAUGUCACCCUGCAGCCCAAGACCGGUUACUCACUGAAGCUAAGCAGGGCUGAGCCUGGUCAGUACCAGGAUGGGAGACCACUAGGGAACACUAGGUUGCUGUUGGAA